rnacentral:rRNA from 1 species
AGUAAAAGUCGUAACAAGGUUUCCGUAGGUGAACCUGCGGAAGGAUCAUUAUCGAGUUUUGACUGGGUUGUAGCUGGCCUUCCGAGGCAUGUGCACGCCCUGCUCAUCCACCCUACACCUGUGCACUUACUGUGGGUUUCAGAUGUUAUUAGCGGGGCCUUUACGGGUCUCGUGAAAGCGUCUGUGCCUGCGUUUAUUACAAACUCUUACAAGUAACAGAAUGUGUAUUGCGAUGUAACGCAUUUGAAUACAACUUUCAGCAACGGAUCUCUUGGCUCUCGCAUCGAUGAAGAACGCAGCGAAAUGCGAUAAGUAAUGUGAAUUGCAGAAUUCAGUGAAUCAUCGAAUCUUUGAACGCACCUUGCGCUCCUUGGUAUUCCGAGGAGCAUGCCUGUUUGAGUGUCAUGAAAUCUUCAACCUAUAAGCCUUUGCGGGUUUAUUAGGCUUGGACUUGGAGGCUUGUCGGCCUAGCGGUCGGCUCCUCUUAAAUGCAUUAGCUUGAUUCCUUGCGGAUCGGCUCUCGGUGUGAUAAUUGUCUACGCCGCGACCGUGAAGCGUUUGGCGAGCUUCUAAUCGUCUCUUAUGAGACAAUUCAUUGACCUCUGACCUCAAAUCAGGCAGGACUACCCGCUGAACUUAAGCAUAUCAAUAAGCGGAGGAAAAGAAACUAAACAGGAUUCCCCUAGUAACUGCGAGUGAAGCGGGAAAAGCUCAAAUUU